GGGAUGUACACAGCUACAUUGGACGUUGAGGCGGGGCCCGUCUGUGGGGCUGGGGCUCCCGCAGGCUGCCUCGCUGUUCUAGACAGUCUCUGAGGUCAGGUUCAAAACUCCUUUCUAAGAUCCUCCAUUCUGAUUAUAAAUUUAUCACCCAAAUUUUUCUUCUUCCGGAUUAAGGCUCUGGCGACCGCCUCCUGCACACGAUCAGUUGGUUCACCCUCCAGCUUGCAGAGACCACUUGCCGAACUCUUCCCAACUGGGCAACGAUUUUCCAGUUUCGCUAUCACUGUAGCUUCAUCAGGGAAAGAGAUCUACUUCUAUCCGGGUUUAGGAGCCGUUGCUGUGGACGGAGAGGUGGGGAC